UUAUGAGGUUUUGCUUUUCGCAGUUUUCAUCCACAGCCCAUCUUGGUUUUGUUUUUCCCAUGACCGCUGUGGUCUUAGUGCCCCACAUCCAGCAGGGGACCGUUCCUGUACCAUGUGCAUGCAGACAAUUCUGUCUUUGUCCAUCUAAAUAUUUUUUUGUGUGUUCUUCUUGUUUAUUUCUUAUUUUCCUGAUUCACUUUCACACUUGCUUUAUUAUGUCUUCAUUUCUUUGUUACAUCCUGUUGUCUGGUUUAAACCCCCUCUCCACGUUCUUCUUUAAAAUUGUCCCUCGUCUUUGCCUUUUGCUCUUCCAUAUACAACUCAGAAUUAUUCCAUGUAAAUUCUUCACUUGAUUGAGGGCAUGCAUUAAAUUUAUAGAUUAAUUUGAGGAAAAUUGACCUCUUCUUGGGGUAAAUGUUUUCUAUGUCUUUCUAAAUAUCUACAUGGAGGUCUAUUUACUAUGUAUAUACUUUUAUAACUUACCUUUUUAUUCAAUACUGAUAUUUUAAAUGCUAAUAGAUUUCUUCAUCAACAAUUUGAUGUCCACUUAGCCACUCCUUACUUGACUAGAUUGUAAUUCUUUUAACCAUGCACCUACUGACAUGUACGAGAACAUAAUUCACAAUGGAUUACUCUAGGAUUCAUAUCUUUUCCAUCAUGAAAUUUAUGUAGAUACUCAGCUAUAUUCUUGGAAUUCUAGGAUUUUUAUAUAGUUAUUUAUAUGAGAUGUGUAUAGGUAUACUUGAGAAAAAUACCUCACUUAAUUUUUUCCUCUAUAGUUGCCAAUUUUUAGAUCUUCAUCCUUUUGGCCGACUUGGUUUCGGUGUUUAGUUUGACCAUUCCCAGCGACUGUCAACAGUGCGGUGCUUACCCAGGUACUCAAUGAAUGUUUGAGUGGCGAGCCAGUCUGUGAUGUUUGAUUGAUUACCUGAUGCUUCAUUCCUUUCCACUGGUGCAUCUGCCCUUCCUAGAUGACUGCCAUGCAGUUUUAAUUACUGGAGUUGUGGAAUGAGCUUGUGUGGCAGAGAGCCGUCAUCAUCACUGUCGUUAUUGUUUCUUUGGGAUUUUUUUUCUGCAUCUUUUUAUUUCUGCAUAAUUUUUCUUUCAGAUGAGCUUUCAGAUAAGUUGGCCAAGUUUCCAAAAAACUAUUGUGAUUUUGAUUGACAGUGUGUUGAUGUUCUGAAAACAUUUAAAGACAUUUGUUUUAAUUUUCUGGCCUGAUGAGUGCUACAUACAUGCUACAUUCAUCUAGUUUAUAAAUUCUGGAACUUUUUGGUUAGAGCAGAUAAAUCCCCAGAUUUCCUUUUGGUUUGAAAUUCAAGGCAGUUAAAUAAAUCUAUUGCACCAAACACUAUCUUGCCAUGUUUGUUCUGUAAAGACAAAAUAUUUUUCUGUACCAAUUAGCACUUAAAGGCUCACCACUUCCUUAUAAAACAUGGUGAAAUGGUACUAUGCAUUUCCUGACC
rnacentral:lncRNA from 1 species